AGCUGAUUUCACACUGUCAAGAAAAGCUUCUAUCGAGUUUAAAGGCGCCCGUACCGUAGACCGACACAGGUGGGUGAGGAGAGUAUCCUAAGGCCAGCGAGAGAACUAUUGUUAAGGAACUCGGCAAGAUGACCCCGUAACUUAGGGAGAAGGGGUGCCUGUCUAUGACAGGCCGCAGAGAAUAGGCCCAAGCGUCUGUUUACCAAAAACACAGGUUUCUGCUAAGUCGUAAGACGAUGUAUAGGAGCUGACGCCUGCCCGGUGCUGGAAGGUUAAGGGGAUCUGUUAGAGCAAUCGAAGCAGUGAACUUAAGCCCCAGUAAACGGCGGCCGUAACGAUAACGGUCUUAAGGUAGCGAAAUUCCUUGUCGGGUAAGUUCCGACCCGCACGAAAGGCGUAACGAUUUGGGCACUGUCUCAACAAUAGACUCGGUGAAAUUGUAAUCCCGGUGAAGAUGCCGGGUACCUGCGACAGGACGGAAAGACCCCAUGGAGCUUUACUGUAGCUUGACGUUGGGUCUUGGUACUACAUGUACAGGAUAGGUGGGAGACUAUGAAGCAUGGACGCCAGUCUGUGUGGAGUCAUCCUUGGGAUACCACCCUUGUAGUACUGGGAUCCUAACCAUAGGCCUUGAAUCAGGUCUUGGAACACCGUCAGGUGGGCAGUUUGACUGGGGCGGUCGCCUCCUAAAAAGUAACGGAGGCGCUCAAAGGUUUCCUCAGCACGGUCGGAAAUCGUGCGAAGAGUGUAAAGGCAAAAGGAAGCUUGAUUGCAAGACAUACAGGUCGAGCAAGGACGAAAGUCGGACUUAGUGAUCCGGUGGUACCGCAUGGAAGGGCCAUCGCUCAACGGAUAAAAGCUACCCUGGGGAUAACAGGCUUAUCUCCCCCAAGAGUCCACAUCGACGGGGAGGUUUGGCACCUCGAUGUCGGCUCAUCACAUCCUGGGGCUGUAGUAGGUCCCAAGGGUUGGGCUGUUCGCCCAUUAAAGUGGUACGCGAGCUGGGUUCAGAACGUCGUGAGACAGUUCGGUCCCUAUCCGUCGCAGGCGUAGGAAAUUUGAGAAGACCUGUCCUUAGUACGAGAGGACCGGGAUGGACGUACCUCUGGUGUACCAGUUGUUCUGCCAAGGGCAUGGCUGGGUAGCUAUGUACGGAAUGGAUAAGCGCUGAAAGCAUCUAAGCGCGAAGCCAACUCCAAGAUAAGAUUUCCCACCGUAAGGGUAAGACCCCAGGAAGACUACCUGGUUGAUAGGUCGAAGGUGUAAGUGCAGUAAUGUAUUUAGCUUAUCGAUACUAAUAGGUCGAGGACUUGACCU
rnacentral:rRNA from 1 species